CGGGGCGGGGACCGUAGCGGGUGCAGUCCAGCUGCUCUGGACGCUGAGGCCCCGGCUUCUCUUGCUGGGGUGUCGAUUCGGGAGGGCUGAGGGCGCGGCCGAGAGAACGGGGCGGUCACCGCCGCCGUGGCCCGCGCGUCCCGCGCUCUCCUUGCAGUGCAGGCCCCAGCCGCUCUCGGGCGCGGCGUGGGGGAGGCGGCCCUGCAGGUGCGUACCCGGGGUCCGACACGUGCGGGGCUUCCUGCGAGCUGAGUCCCCGCUGCGCGUCUUCAGGCCUUUGUAAGUUGUCAAAUUUCCCACCGGCCCAGCUCAUCGAGCUUCUUCCCAGCUGUGAACAGGAGGGCCUGUUCCCUAAUUCUUGCCGAAAUUGUUCCAACUGCUGGUGUUCUGCAAGAUGGAGCCAGGAGGAGAGCCCACAGGUGCUAAAGAGAGCAGUACCCUGAUGGAGUCCCUUGCAGGUGAGGGGACAUGUCCACAGUCGGGCCCAGAGUUCCAGGGCAGGAAUUGAACAGGAAUACAGGAAAAACACCAUGUCUCAGUCACUGACGCAGAGCAUAUACUGUGUCCUUGGGCGCAGGGUGAGGGAGGGAGGUAAACGCAGGCCCAUCAGAUCUCCUGGGCAUCUGUUUGGUGACUGUCUUUGCCAGUGAACUGAGAGCUUUUGGUUAGAAAGUCUGGCAGCCCCAGGCUCUGCCUCUGGGAAGG
rnacentral:lncRNA from 1 species